rnacentral:rRNA from 1 species
UGGGGAAUAUUGGACAAUGGGGGCAACCCUGAUCCAGCCAUGCCGCGUGCGUGAAGAAGGCCUUAGGGUUGUAAAGCGCUUUCACUGGUGAAGAUGAUGACGGUAGCCAGAGAAGAAGCCCCGGCUAACUCCGUGCCAGCAGCCGCGGUAAUACGGAGGGGGCAAGCGUUGUUCGGAAUUAUUGGGCGUAAAGCGUCCGUAGGCGGUUUACCAAGUCAGUUGUUAAAGACUGCAGCCCAACUGUGGGCGAGCAACUGAAACUGAUGAACUAGAGUGCGGUAGGGGUAGAGGGAAUUCCCAGUGUAGCGGUGAAAUGCGUAGAUAUUGGGAAGAACACCAGUGGCGAAGGCGCUCUACUGGGCCGCAACUGACGCUGAGGGACGAAAGCUAGGGGAGCGAAAGGGAUUAGAUACCCCCGUAGUCC